CCAACAGGGAUUGCCCUAGUAACGGCGAGUGAAGCGGCAACAGCUCAAAUUUUAAAUCUGGCUCCCUCGGGGUCCGAGUUGUAAUUUGCAGAGGGUGCUUUGGCGUCGGUAGCGGUCUAAGUUCCUUGGAACAGGACAUCACAGAGGGUGAGAAUCCCGUACGUGGUCGCUAACCUUCGCCGUGUAAAGCCCCUUCGACGAGUCGAGUUGUUUGGGAAUGCAGCUCUAAAUGGGAGGUAAAUUUCUUCUAAAGCUAAAUACCGGCCAGAGACCGAUAGCGCACAAGUAGAGUGAUCGAAAGAUGAAAAGCACUUUGGAAAGAGAGUCAAAUAGCACGUGAAAUUGUUGAAAGGGAAGCGCUUGCAGUCAGACUUGCCCGUAGUUGCUCACCUAGGCUUUUGCCUGGGGCACUCUUCUGCGGGCAGGCCAGCAUCAGUUUGGGCGGCCGGACAAAGACCUCUGUCAUGUAUCUUCCUUCGGGAUGACCUUAUAGGGGAGGUGUAAUGCGGCCAGCCCGGACUGAGGUCCGCGCUUUUGCUAGGAUGCUGGCGUAAUGGCUGUAAGCGGCCCGUCUUGAAACACGGACCAAGGAGUCUAACAUCUAUGCGAGUGUUUGGGUGUCAAGCCCGGGCGCGCAAUGAAAGUGAACGGAGGUGGGAACCUUUGGGUGCACCAUCGACCGAUCCUGAUGUCUUCGGAUGGAUUUGAGUAAGAGCAUAGCUGUUGGGACCCGAAAGAUGGUGAACUAUGCUUGAAUAGGGUGAAGCCAGAGGAAACUCUGGUGGAGGCUCGCAGCGGUUCUGACGUGCAAAUCGAUCGUCAAAUUUGGGCAUAGGGGCGAAAGACUAAUCGAACCAUCUAGUAGCUGGUUCCUGCGAGUCU
rnacentral:rRNA from 1 species